UGGUUUGUUUUUCGUUAAAUUAAAAGUUUUUCCGUCACUGUAAAAGUGAUGUUUUUAAUUCUAAAGUUGUUUUUAUCUAUUUAUAGUGUAAAUUUAAAAGUUUUUUCUUUUAGUGUAAAAAUUAUAAAUCUGUCAAAUCGCGAACAAAAACUUAUAUGUUAUUUUGUGCAGUGUCUGUGGCACAACCGGCAAAAAUAAAAACAAAACAUUAAAGUUUAUGUCCGCGAUGCGCGCAGCAUCAGAGUUUUUAAAUUUCAUUUGCCGAAUAUUUGGGAAAGGCUGCCAUAAAUAAAAGGUAUCGCAAAAGAGCGAGCCACGAUCGACGUGACACUAUCACUUCCGAGAACCCAGUCGGCCGUUUUCCCUCCCUUCAGCCGCUCUGCGGCAUACAGAAACCGAAAAUGCAAGGAAAAACAAGGCUUCGACGAGCUGGUCAGGCAAGCUAGGCAGAUAAGUUAGCCAAUGGAAUGGCUGCUGAAUUGACUUGCAAAGUUUCAGUGGCUCAAGUCUGGCCAAAUUCCGGAUCCCCGGAACAAAUAUCUAUAGCGUUGGAAGAACGAAGCUAAUCAUGGGUCAAGACCUGUCAGCAUCGGAUCGAGAGAGAGGCCAGCGAGGUAUGCUCCCGGAAGAUGUUACAAGGUUAAAAGUGCCAACGUUUGUGUUAAGAGUAUUUUUGAUUAUAUUUAUUUUUAUAAAAAAAAUUAUACUUCCGUUAAUUAUAAUAUAAUAAAUGGAUUUUAA